GCGAUAGAGAAGACAGGGAUUAGACCUCCAUUCCCAGCUGAGGAAACCAAGGCUCUUGUGACGGCCCUGAACUCAGCCCCCAGGAUCUUCAAGCAAUAAGAGUAUGGCUUUCUAUGACCUACAGAGUGUGGCCCGGGUCAGCCCUCAGGCUAAAAGAGGGAUCUUUUUAAGCCAAGUGUCCAAAUUGUCAGCUGGCAACAUACAAGCUGUAUUAUGCCACAAGACACUGAAAGCCAGUGAAGGAAUGAGGGUCAACCAUUUCCCGGUGUGAAAUUACCAGUUUUCCCUCAGGAUCCCGCCAGCUCUGUUUGUGACCUGUGACUAUCCUACGUAUGGACUAAGUGAGGGCACCAGUGUCAUGAGACACCUGAGGGGCUCCUGUCUGGAUCCAUCUCAAACCAAGUAAAGGCUGGAGGUUCCCCGGAGCACCUGGACGACACAGAAUUAGAAGGACAUCCUUUCCAGGCAUUGAUCUACUCGUCAGUCACCUUCCGUGAAGCUGCAAGUCUUUAGGGUCCCAGUUAAAGUGGGGGGUCCAUUAGAAUCCUCACCUCUGUUGGGUUGUAGGUCUUGCCUGUUACCUCCCAUCCAGCCCCAGGCAUUUGUCAAGAGAACAGCCCAGUUUUGCAGCUGUUUCUUUAGGAUUGGCAAAUGGCCUUGGGGCAAAAUCAAAUUUGAAUAUCAGUCUUUUUCUCUGGGUCUCCUCUUCUAUAUUUUGUCUUUGAAACUCCUCAUGACCUUGUUAACAUUUUGGUGCUUUUAAGAAGGUAUUUUUAAUAUUUUAUCCAGUUCUUUAGGUUUCCUUGGCGGGAAAGUUGGUGCAAAUUUCCUAGUCAUCACUUACUGGGAGUAGACAUUACAAUUUGUGUAUUCAUCAGAGGAAAGGAAGUUUUUCAUAGUCUUCUAUUUCUACUUCAUGUUUAUGAAUUUCUUAGUCUCUGUAAAGCACUUUACAUAUGACAAGGAUGGACUAUAUCCUACAGAACCAAACUUAUUAUGUAGCACUUAUCAAAUCCUUUCAAAGGACCCAAUCUGAUAUGACAUGCAAUAGUUCAUAAGAUAAUUUUAAGUCAUGACUACUUUUGACCUUUGGGAUUCAGUAUGAUAAACUUGUGCCCCACCAACUCAUAAAAAUAUAAUGGCAGAUCCAGUGAUCCAUAGAUAACAUGCAAACAUAACAUCACAUCCUACUAGGGGCACUUGCUCUUCCCACUGAAUGAAAGCCUCUCCCCUUCUCUUGCGUUUUUCAAUGUUUUCUCCACGCUUACCUUCUCAAUGAGGCUUUCCCUAAACACACUAUUUGAAACUGCAAACUCCCCCUCCUUCCCAUGCUUCUUAAUCUCCUCCUGUCCUUCUCUUUUCUCCAUCAUCCUCCACCAUCUUACAUGCUAUAUAUUAUAUAUCUUGGCUCUAUUUAUUACUGCCUCUCUGGUCUUGACAAAUCUGCUUACCCCCUCAACUCCUUGGUUCCUCUAGAUAUAAAAUAGGACUAAGAAAAGCAUCCCACCCUUCUUCAUAUGGAUAUUUCAUAGAUGAGGUGUAGUGAUAGAUCAGAAAGUGAUUCUAAAAAACUGUUUUUUAAAAAAUGAACCAAUGAAAAUUAUGAUAUCUAAAAAAACUUACUGAUGAGGUGUAGUGAUAGAUCAGAAAGUGAUUCUAAAAAACUGUUUUUUAAAAAAUGAACCAAUGAAAAUUAUGAUAUCUAAAAAAACUUACUGAUUGAGCUUGAUAGGAGAAUAGAGAGAACAGGAGAAAAAAAUCAGUGAACUUCAAAAUAGUUCAAUAGAAAUGACCCAAUAUGAAGAACAGAGAAGAGAGAUUGAAAAAAAUGAGCAGACCCUCAGGGAACUGUGGACAAUAUCCAAAGGUCUAAUAUAUGUGCAAUUGGAGUUGCUGAAGGAGAAGAGAGAAAAAUGGGGCAGUAAAGAAUAUUUGAAAAAAAGAAUAGAUGAAAAUUUUACAAAUUUGGAGAAAGGGAUAAAUAUACACAUUUAGGAAGCAGAGUAAACUUCACACAGAGCAGAUUUAAACACACACACACACACACACACACACACACACAUGCACUCCUAGGCAUGUCAGAGUCAAACUGCUAACAACCAAAGUUAAGGAAAAAAAUCUUGAAAGAACCCAAAGGUUGUGCCACAGAUUUGUUCCACACCAACUAAAAUACUGCAGCCAAAAUUUGCUGAACUUCAAGUUCUGGGGGGAAAUUUUCACUGGAGAAGAAAUCACAGCUUUUCACCACGUGGCACAUCCCGUGUCAAGGAGCUCACGGACGGCGAGUGUCAGCCCUCCCCACCUUUGUGCUUCAGGAUCAGUGGCCUGAGGGAUGGAGCAGAGGCACGGUCCAAGAAGCGGCUGGAGGCUGGAGGCGAGGGCCGCACCAGUCGUAGGCCAGGGCUGCACGCCGGGAAGGGACGGUGCCACCCCAGCAGCAUCGCAGCAAGUCUCCCGGCGUCUGCAGCUCUUCCUGUAACCAGAGGCCUUUUCCUGUGUUUGAACUCGCCACCAAUGGCUGUCCUACCAAAGGCCGCCUUCUCGGCACUGACAGCUGCUUCGAACGCCAGUCACUCAGCUCAUCCGCCCAGCUGCGCGCCUCUGCUCACAUCACUCUGAGGCCUCUGGUUUGUCGGCUUCAAAGCACCUCACAAGUGGGGCCUUGCCUCCCUCAGGGUGGGUGUCAAAGGAAGGCAAAGCCUAGCGAGACUCGUGACACCUCUGGAAUUCAGGCUAUAUCUCAUUUCGCAGAAGAAAUCAGGACAAAGAGGAGCCUACUGUCUACUCCCAGGGCCAUGUGAGCAGGAAGUGGAAGGACAGGGGCCAGGUCUGCCCGUGUGUAGUCUGAAGAGGGUCUCCCUCAUCCUUGCAUUUAAAACUGUUUUUCUCAAGGAGUCAGCCUCCUCAAAGGUGCCUCGGCGAUGGUGACAGUUGAGAGGGCAAAGGGAAGGGAAGGGGAAAGAGGAUGUUCCGUGGAUGGAACUCCACCCCCCAGAUGGGGCCUCUUCUUUUCGGUCUCAUUCGUUCACCUGUUCAUCCAACAACGUGUGUUGAGUAACUUGCAAGGUGACCUCCAGACACUGGCGAGACCACCACAAACAGGCGAAGUUGGGGUUCCCCUGAAAAUUAUGUUCUGUGCUCCGUAUUAGUUCCCAAGUAAGACUAUUUUUUGGUAAAAGGGUUCUGGUAACACCUUUUCAUUUUUAAAACAGUAAAAUCUUUCCAAUACCUAGCUUUUGAAGCAUUAACUGGUACUCCUCAAGCACACACACCAAGUGGAGACUUUGCCACUACACAAAGCCGCUUAGCUGCUGAUCUUCCAACGCCUGGUCAUUUAAAAUCUGUCAAGAAAAGACACCCACGAAGAGAACUUUUCCGGACAGCAUCACCUCCACUCGCUGACAAAGACACACAUGAUGUUAGGAUGCACGGAGAGAGCCUGUAAGCAGAAGAGAAGGGCUUUAUGCCACUCUGGAGGAAGACCAUGAAGAGACGAGCUCUACUGAAUUACGCAAGUGAACCUGGAGGAGAAUGCCCACUCACCUCUGGUCUGAUCAUAAAUCUACAGUUGCUUUUUAAUAUAACUUUUGACAUCCCUCACCUCGAAAAUGCCCACCUGCUUAUAUCAGAUAUUUGGAGCUCAGAAUGUAUUUUCCUGUAGAAACAACAAGUUCCUAAGUCAUUAUGUCCACAGGCCUGUCCUUAAGACCCACGAUAUGCUGUAACUAAAUGAUACCACCACCAAUCCACCAAGUCUAGCUGACUUGCCUUAGCAAACUGUCAGCCUGGGUUCUCAGGUGAUGCCUGGAGUACAUUCUCCAGUGCUAGGAGUUCAAAUGCUGAGUCCUGCUCCAUCCCUUAUCUACCCCUGAGCCAGCUUUGAGGAUGCCGCCAGCCUUUCAGUAACAGCCCGGGGAGUGUGCUGGAGGAAGGGGAACUCUGUAGGGUGCAUGUUAAGAGAUUUAGGCAUGGGGAUGCACCUUAGGACAGUGACAGCAAGACAAGCAGGCCAGGAGGGGGGAGUGGAGCAAAGGCAGGUAAGUCCUCACCUUUGGAGGCUCUGGAGGUGGAGAUGGGGGUAGGGACAUGGUGGAAGGUGUUGCCAUUCAAAAGUAAGAAUCUCAUAAGCCAGCUGUUUGUGUGCCAGGCACUGUGUUCAUUCUCCAACAGACCUUUGUCAUACAACAUAUCAGUGCAGCUCUCGAACCUUAUCAUCCCAUGGCCUCUGCAGCACUGACACGUCCACCUGCACCUCCCCAGAGCCCCACUGGCAUGACCAAAUUUAGACCAGACUUUACAGCUUUUCGUUGCUUCUACGCUGGCCCCUCCACAAUCCAUUCUUUGUGCACUGACCAAAAUAGGCUUUCUGAUAACUCCAGUCUGAUCGUGUCCCUCCCUGUGUAAAGUCUUGAAUGAUUUCCCGUCCAUCUUAGGAUCAAGUUCAGAAUCCCAACUCAGACCCGCCAGGCUGCCCCUUGUUUGGGCUGCCGCCUGCCCAUCUUUGCCCGGCGCCUGCCUGCGCCUUCUUCAGGACUCAUUUUCUUAGGAAGACCUUCCCUGACCUUGUGCGCAGAUUUGGUACCUGACUGCAAGCUCUCCUAACUCCCAGAUUUCCUCUUCAGAGCACUGGCCGAAGCUGUUAUUGUUUAGACCUUCGGGUUUGGCUUGGUCAAUGUGUCUCCUUGCCCAGGCAGAAAAAUCCAGAGCACAUUAACCACGCCUGUAAGACACGGUCACAUGGUCAUGAAAUGCUGGCAGGACGAGCCUCUGGGCCAUACGUGGUUAGCUCUUACGUUAUAACACGUGUUGUUCUCCACUUUUAGGGAGCAUUCAUUGAGUUCUGAUUAUGUGACAGCCAGUGUUUGUUUAAACGGCAGGGCAGGUUAGCUUCAUGGUUAAAAAUGAGGGAUCUGAGCCCAAAUUCCCUGGGUUUGGAAUCUUACUAGUCACAUGGUAUUGGGGAAGUACUAUGAUUUCUCUGUGCCUCAGUUUCCCCAUCUAUAUCAAAAGAGGAGGAGGUAAAGGAUAGUCAUAGCAAUGACUUCACGGGGCCACUGUGCCGGUUUAGUGGGUCAUGACACUAGAGUCUCAAGAAGAGGGCCUGUGCGUGAUGAGUAUUUCAAAGACGUCACUCUUCUCCUUCACUCCUAAUCCUAUGAAAAAUAGUGUUAUGGUCUUAUCCCCACCUGUCAAAUGAGGAAACUAGAUGCACGAAACAGACUUUCUUUAAUAUGUUGUUUAAAUAAAUACUUCGUAUCAUCUUUUUAUACUUAAAAAACUGAAAAGGAAGAAAGAAAUGAAUGUUCUCAUGUUUUGAGAGUGGGGACUUGGGGGACAAUGGGGCUUGGCAAGAUGACGGGAAUAAAUCAAAGAAACAGAGAAAGUUUCAGAGUUCCAGGCCCAGGACUCGGCCAUCGAUUCCUCACGGCAGCAUGAUGACACUGAGCCUGUCCGUGAGAAGCCCAGAGGUGGGAGGAGAGGCCCGAUUUCCACAGACUCUGGAAGGGAGAGGAGAGCCGAUGGGGCACGACUCAGAGCGGGGGGCCCAGCAUCUCCGGGUUGUGGCAGGAAGCGGGAACCAUGGAUCCCAAGCUGUUCCGAAGCUCCUCCGGAACUCUUCAAGGGCAUCGCCGACUCCUCAGAUGACAUCCAUUUGAAUUAAACAGAUCUGUGCCAGACGUCCCAUGUGCGAGAAUGCUGGUGCCAAAAGAAACCGAACACAAGGCUUGUGAGUUGCUGGAGUGGACAUCUUGUUGGAGAGAGGUGAGUCCUGCAUCAGACUUUUAAAAAGACAUCUGGCGGGGACACGAAUAUACCUGGCAGCCCAUGCAAAACGCCCCAGAACUAGAAACAACCCCAAUGCCCAUCUUCAGUAACGCAGAUCUCCACGUGGAGGUCGGGUCCCAGCAAGGAGGGGCAAGGCGCCACCACCACGCUCGACAAUAGGGGUGGACCUCACAAAUACAACGCUGCCGAGGCAAAGAAACCCCAAACAAGAAGUACGACCUGAUGCCGUUUGUGGUGUAAACUCCGUGUCUAUGUCAGGUGUCACACAACGUGUGGAGGGGAGGUGCUAGCUGGAGGGCCACAGCGGGUCUUCCGUUGUGUUUCUGUUACUCAGCUGUGUUCAUUUUGCCAAAGUUCACUGAGGAGUACACUUAUAUUUUUGUGCACUGUUCAGAACAUGUGUGAUAUUUCAAUCCACCCCUCCCUUGCCCACCCCUCACAAUCAGGGGUCAAGUUAGUCCUGGGGUGAACAGAUAGCCCUGGAGUUCUGGAUAAUCAGAAGCUGGAGAAGUG
rnacentral:lncRNA from 1 species